AUUGAACGCUGGCGGCAGGCCUAACACAUGCGAGUCGAGCGGAUGAAGGGAGCUUGCUCCUGGAUUCAGCGGCGGACGGGUGAGUAAUGCCUAGGAAUCUGCCUGGUAGUGGGGGAUAACGUCCGGAAACGGGCGCUAAUACCGCAUACGUCCUGAGGGAGAAAGUGGGGGAUCUUCGGACCUCACGCUAUCAGAUGAGCCUAGGUCGGAUUAGCUAGUUGGUGGGGUAAAGGCCUACCAAGGCGACGAUCCGUAACUGGUCUGAGAGAUGAUCAGUCACACUGGAACUGAGACACGGUCCAGACUCCUACGGGAGGCAGCAGUGGGGAAUAUUGGACAAUGGGCGAAAGCCUGAUCCAGCCAUGCCGCGUGUGUGAAGAAGGUCUUCGGAUUGUAAAGCACUUUAAGUUGGGAGGAAGGGCAGUAAGUUAAUACCUUGCUGUUUUGACGUUACCAACAGAAUAAGCACCGGCUAACUUCGUG
rnacentral:rRNA from 1 species